UAAUCAUCCUUGUCCUAAGUGUCCCCAGCCUGUGCCCGUAAAUGUCCUCUGCCCCCCAUGCCUGUUCUCCUGCCGUCACUGGCUCAUUGGUCUGUGGCUCUCUAGGACCACGAGAGGCUCUGGAAGGCAAGGGCUCUGGCGGGAUCUAUAUUUGGUAAAAGCUGCGUUCAGAACACCAUCAUGGAGAGUCUCCGUGUGCCUGAGCGUCCUGAAGGCCCAGAGAAGUCCUGACAUAAAGAAACCUGAUGAAGUUAGCGCCAUACAGGCUUUCCUGGAAUCCUCUGGACCCUGAUUUGAAAUGACAACACCCUGCUGGAAUCAGCGCACACGUAGGGAUGGAUGUCUGCAGGGCGCUGGAGAGACAGCCCGUCGUCUACAGGGGACACUUCUCCAGUAGAGCCUGAGUCCUCACCCUUGGCCCCAGGCCUCAGAGCUGGCUCUCAGGGCCUAGGAUGCCAGAGAAGCAGGUGUACGUGAGACCUGGCCAUCCACACCAACCUUCCAGGACAAGAAGCCACUUUCUGACUCCGGGUCCAGUGCUCUGCCUCUCAGCAUUCGCCCGGCCAGCCCAGAAUAAACAAUGGUGUAAUAAACAACUUUCAACAGAUCUCUGGGUGAGAGCAUAUGCAGGAAAGAUGGAUUCCUACACCUGGCACACAGGAGUCAGAGCCUGAGAAGAAAAGACCAGGGAGGAGGCUGAGGUUCCGAGUAGACCCCAAGCAGCUGCGAUUAAAACGUUCCCAGCGUGGGCGGGCGCCCAAGGCCCGCCCUGUUGCGCUCCCCUCCUUCCUCUCCCAGCCAUCCCAGGCUCUCCCCCGCUCCUAUCGGGGCGGUCCGGCCCCCACUCUCCCGCCUGCGGCCCCCGCGGCAGCAGAGCGGCCCGCGCCUCAGAGGAACCAAAAAAAGCCGGCGCGUGGUGUGCGCGCGAGCUGCGCGGGGCCCUGGCGCUGCUGUUUUUAGUGUGCCUGGAGCCCAGAAUAUAGACUUAAUCACCCCCAGGAAACGCGGCCAUAAUAUUUUUGGUUGCAUAAGCAAACUAAAUUAGAAAUCUGGAGCGCGUUCAAGACCUUUAGAUGCGAGCGCGGGGGACCAGGGGAGAGACAGAUGGGGAUUAGGCGAGCUGAGCAUCAGGAGAAUAAUUUCCUCUUUUAAUUUGGGUUCCAUCGACCAGGAAAGCAGCAUUAACGGCCCAGUUACGUAACCGGCGCCAGGGCCCGCUCGCAUGAGCCGCCGCAGCGAGCCGGCCCGGCCCUCCGCCUCUGCACCUGCCCGCCAGCGCGGCCUCAGCCCACUCAGCCGCCCCGGGGAGGCGGGCGCUGGCGUUAGCCUGCUCCACCCGGAGUUCUCCGACAACGCCAGUGAGUCGUCCCGGGCCACCCAACUCAGAACUGGCGCUCGGGAUCUGAACUCGGCGGGGGGGGUCUUGAAAGAGGCUCCCCAGGUCCUUGCGCAAAGACGGAGUGUCCCACAGCCCGGCUCGCUGGGGGAGCGCUGAACGCAGCCUGAGGAUGCCCACUGCAGGAUUGUAGGCAAUGAUAGGAAAUUGGAACCUAGAAAAUGUUUGAUAGUGAGGGGAACGGGCAGGUGAACUACAGAGCAUGCAUACUAGGGCAUAUUCUAGAGCAGCACAAAAAACUGGGGUGAUCUCUCCGUUCAGACGUGGACUGUCCAAGACAGAAUUGAGGAGAAGAGAGCAAGUUGCAGAACAACACGAGCAUGAGUCUGGUUUGUGUUAAAAAACAAACUGCAUAUCCCCGCAAAACCCUCUCUCCGCAUCUGCAAUGUACAUGAAAGUGACUGCCUUUUAAAAAAGGGCCAGGAGGGUGGUUAAGGGCACUGAUGGGGCAGUCCCCUUCGGAGGCAGGCAGGGCAUAAAAGAAGGUCAGGGGGAAUUUGCAUGUGACUCACACCAGAAUGUAAACGUGUGUGCUUGUGUUAUUUAGAAACAAACCCCCAAAGGCAUGAAGGCUGGGGGUUAGCCUUGCAGAUGGAAGCUGGACCUUGCCUCCAGCCAACGUUGCAGAAAGCAAGAAGGAAGGUCUGGCUGUGCCUACUGAAUGUUGGAGCAGGGAGGGUCUUAGAGAGGGUGCGGCCCAACCCCUUCUGAUCUGAACAGGGAAGCCAAAGCUCCGCCCGGGAGGGGCCCACACAAGCUGGCAGCUGCGGGGAGGAGGUAGGAGCCGUGGGUUGUCAGCCUGUGGUUUUGCUACCACCAAUUCUCAAAAAUGCUGGGGUCAGGGUGGUGCAGGAGAAGGAGGCAGGAAGGCAGGAAGGCAGGAACUAGGUAUCCAUGGAGUGGGAUAGAUGGGGAGCAAUCAGAUGUCCAUCCAUCCAACCAUCCCACAAACACGUCGAGGGCUAUGGUGGAUAUAAAGCAUGUCUGCAAAUUCUUCAGCACUCUUCCCGUUGGAAAGUGGGGUCUCUGUCUCUUCCCCUUGAAUUGGGCUCACCUGAGUGAGCCCACAGACAGCAGUGGAAGGCUGGGUGAGAAAAGACCGUGCAGGUUUCUCCUGGCCGUGUCAGAAGGCCGGCCACUGUGCGGCUGCCAUGCGGGGGAGACCUCUUGGAGCCCCUUGGAGCCCCGGGAACCACCAGCAUCAGCGUGCGUACGCCAUCCUGUUCAUCCUGCCGAGUAGAACCUUCAGGAGAUUGCAGCCCACCGCAGACCCCCAGUGAGAACUGCCUGGCUGAGCACUCUCCAGAUUCCAGGUUCACAAAACCAUAAGCAAAAUAGAAAGAGUAAUUUUAAGCCA